CGCUGGGGUGUCUUGGCGCCCCGACAUUCCGGGGCUGAUUUUUGGGGGCCGCUGUGCCAGUGGCCUAUUUUUGGCACACGGAGGCCGCCCGCAAAGUCUGGGGCCAUUCCGAGUCCGGCGGACGAACUUCGCCCACGCCCCCCACCAAGGCUAUAGCCCACCCGUUUGUUGGCCAUUUUUCCGCUGGGGGGUCUUGGCACCCCGACCUUCGGGGGCUUAUUUUUUGGCGCGGCUGUGGCCGUGGCCUAUUUUUGGCACACGGAGGCCGCCCGCAAAGUCUGGGGCCAUUCCGAGUCCGGCGGACGAACUUCGCCCACGCACCCCACCAAGGCUAUAGCCCACCCGUUUGUUGGCCAUUUUUCCGCUGGGGGGUCUUGGCACCCCGACCUUCGGGGGCUGAUUUUUUUGCGCGGCUGUGGCCGGGCCUAUUUUUGACACACGGAGGCCGCCCGCAAAGUCUGGGGCCAUUCCGAGUCCGGCGGACGAACUUCGCCCACACCCCCCACCAAGGUUAUAGCCCACCCGUUUUUUGGCCAUUUUUCCGCUGGGGUGUCUUGGCGCCCCGACAUUCAGGGGCUGAAUUUUGGGCGCGGCUGUGCCCGUGGCCUAUUUUUGGCACACGGAGGCCGCCCGCAAAGUCUGGGGCCAUUCCGAGUCCGGCGGACGAACUUCGCCCACGCCCCCCACCAAGGCUAUAGCCCACCCGUUUGUUGGCCAUUUUUCCGCUGGGGGGUCUUGGCCUCCCUAUCUUCGGGGGCUAAUUUUCGGGCGCGGCUGUGGCCGUGGCCUAGUUUUGUCACACUGAGGCCGCCCGCAAAGUCUGGGGCCAUUCCGAGUCCGGCGGACGAACUUCGCCCACACCCCCCACCAAGGCUAUAGCCCACCCGUUUUUUGGCCAUUUUUCCGCUGGGGUGUCUUGGCGCCCCGACAUUCAGGGGCUGAGUUUUGGGCGCGGCUGUGCCCGUGGCCUAUUUUUGGCACACGGAGGCGGCCCACAAAGUCUGGGGCCAUUCCGAGUCCGGCGGACAAACUUCGCCCACGCCCCCCACCAAGGCUAUAGCCCACCCAUUUUUUGGCCAUUUUUCCGCUGGGGGGCCUUGGCGCCCCGACCUUCGGGGGUUGAUUUUUGGGCGCGGCUGUGCCAGUGUUCUAUUUUUGGCACACGGAGGCGGCCCACAAAGUCUGGGGCCAUUCCGAGUCCGGCGGACAAACUUCGCCCACGCCCCCCACCAAGGCUAUAGCCCACCCAUUUUUUGGCCAUUUUUCCGCUGGGGGGCCUUGGCGCCCCGACCUUCGGGGGUUGAUUUUUGGGCGCGGCUGUGCCAGUGUUCUAUUUUUAGCACACGGAGGCCGCCCGCAAAGUCUGGGGCCAUUCCGAGUCCGGCCGACGAACUUCGGCCACACCCCCCACCAAGGCUGUAGCCCACCUGUUUGUUGCCCAUUUUUCCGCUGGGGGGUCUUGGCCUCCCGACGUUCGGGGGCUAAUUUUUGGGCGCGGCUGUGUCUGUGGCCUAUUUUUGGCACACGGAGGCCGCCCGCAAAGUCUGGGGCCAUUCCGAGUCCGGCGGACGAACUUCGCCCACGCCCCCCACCAAGGCUAUAGCCCACCCGUUUGUUGCCCAUUUUUCCGCUGGGGGGUCUUGGCCUCCCGACCUUCGGGGGAUAAUUUUUGGGCGCGGCUGUGUCCGUGGCCUAUUUUUGGCACACGGAGGCCGCCCGCAAAGUCUGGGGCCAUUCUGAGUCCGGCGGACGAACUUCGGCCACGCCCCCCACCAAGGCUAUAGCCCACCUGUUUGUUGCCCAUUUUUCCGCUGGGGGGUCUUGGCCUCCCAACCUUCGGGGGCUAAUUUUUGGCCGCGGCUGUGUCUGUGGCCUAUUUUUGGCACACGGAGGCCGCCCGCAAAGUCUGGGGCCAUUCCGAGUCCGGCGGACGAACUUCGCCCACGCCCCUCACCAAGGCUAUAGCCCACCCGUUUUUUGGCAAUUUUUCCGCUGGGGGGUCUUGGCGCCCCGACCUUCGGAGGCUGAUUUUUGGGCGCGGCUGUGGCCGUGGCCUAUUUUUGGCACACGGAGGCCGCCCGCAAAGUCUGGGGCCAUUCCGAGUCCGGCGGACGAACUUCGCCCACACCCCCCACCAAGGCUAUAGCCCACCCGUUUUUUGGCCAUUUUUCCGCUGGGGUGUCUUGGCGCCCCGACAUUCGGGGGCUGAUUUCUGGGCGCGGCUGUGCCCGUGGCCUAUUUUUGGCACACGGAGGCCGCCCGCAAAGUCUGGGGCCAUUCCGAGUCCGGCGGACGAACUUCGCCCACGCCCCCCACCAAGGCUAUAGCCCAUCCGUUUUUUGGCCAUUUUUCCGCUGGGGGGUCUUGGCGCCCCGACCGUCGGGGGCUGAUUUUUGGGCGCGGCUGUGGCCGUGGCCUAUUUUUGGCACACGGAGGCCGCCCGCAAAGUCUGGGGCCAUUCCGAGCCCGGCGGACGAACUUCGCCCACACGCCCCACCAAGGCUAUAUGUCAUGGCCCAAGCCUCCACAUGGCCUGGCCCAUGUGGAAUUCUAGAGCUAUGGAGACUUGUGUAGAGCAAGUAGAUAUUUCCUUUGUAAUUAAUGUGUUUAGGUGGUGGUUGUGAUAACUCUAGAGACUCUCUAGAUACUUCCUUGUACUCUAUCAAUAGAAGAGGGCGUCAUUUGGCCAAAUGAAUAAGAAGCAAUAUACAAUUCCAGCACACAUAGCUUUGUGAGCAUUCUAUCGAGCAAUAUAGGUUCGUUCCACCCAUCCUUAGUGUGUUAGAGUGAAUCCUCUUUCCGCUUCUCAAAUCCAGCAACGGAUUUGGGUUUAAGGCUGACUUAGGGCCAAGAGAGUGGGAAUUUGGCGCCUAAGGCCGCACGGCAUAGCGUGGAAAAAAAAACCGGGCCGUGACAGUUGGUAUCAGAGCCAUCUACACUCGUCGGUAGUUGCGUUGUUCGAAAGGAAGGAUGUUGGAGAGCACUCAUGAUGACCAAAGGGGGAGGGAGCCUAACCCCAAUGCGAAGAAGGGGAAAAACAGCAAGGAGAAGUCGGUGGACUUGCUCAACGCCAUGGAGAAUCGGGUUGUCCGUGGGGAGAUUGCUGUCGCCGAGAUUAAAGAACGCCUCGAGAUCUUUGAGCAAAAGAUGGAGGAGGUGGAUGAUCUUGGUGAGCGGAUGGGCGAUCUAAGCCAAGAUGUGGUGGCACAACGCCAAAGCCUUGAGGAGUUCCAAGCGGUGGUUCUGAACUCUAUUGAGGCGCUAAGGGCUCAAGUGGAGGAGCUUCACACGGGCCUUGAAGAGACUAAGAUGGAUUGGGCGCUUUGCAAGAAGGCGGUGGCCAGCGGGGUGCUCAACACCAAUGCCGCACCUCCAAUGAGGGUCGAGGUUCCGAGGCCAAGGAGGUAUGGGGGCAAGAGGGAUGCCCAGGAGAUCGAGAACUUCUUGUGGUCCAUGGAGAGGUACUUCGAGGCCACCAACAUCCAAGGUGAGCAAGAGAAGGUGAACAUUGCAACCGGGUACCUUGAGGAUCACGCGACCGCUUGGUGGCAGCGGAAGCAUGCAGAGAUUGUGCGUGGGACGUGCAUCAUCAACACAUGGGACUUGCUGAAGUGCGAGCUCAAGAGGCAAUUCUAUCCAGGGAAUGUGGCAUAUGAGGCUCGUAAGAAGAUGCGGGAGCUGAAGCACACGGGGCCUAUCUCAAAGUAUGUCGAUGAAUUCUCGAAGCUCAUGCUCCAAAUCGACAGCAUGAACACGAAUGAUUUGCUGUUCAACUUCAUGGAGGGACUCCAGCCGUGGGCACAACGGGAGUUGCAGCGGCGCCAAGUGAGUGACAUCUCUACAGCCCUCACCGAGGCUGAUACGCUUGUGGAAUUCCGGAAGGGUGAGUCAUCCAAGCCGAAGAAGGAUGAUAAGCCGCAAUAUGGCAAAGGUGGGGGAGCGAAGGGAGAUAAGCCACACCAUGAUGGCAAGGAUAAGCCACAAAAGAAGGAUGGCCCGAAGGAUGGUUCGAAGGAUGGCAAGAAGGAGGCUAAGCGGAAACACAAUUGCUUCCUUUGCGAUGGGGACCAUUGGGUGCGGGACUGCCCAAAGAAGAAGGCUUUCAACGCCAUGUUUAGCGAGACCGGGGAGAAGCAACUGGAGGCACCACCAGCGGACGCCGCCAACAUGGGCUGUCUCCAACUCUUCAAUGCGCUAAAUACCAAGCCAAUUCCAGCCAAGGUACAGGACAAGUCGCUCAUGCACGUUGAGGCCACGAUCAACGGAAAGCGAACCCAAGCCUUGAUUGACACGGGAGCCUCCCACAACUUCAUCAAGGUGGAUGAAGCCAAGCGGCUUGGACUCAAGGUUGAGAAAUCGGAUGGCUGGCUCAAGACGGUGAAUUCGGAGGCCAAACCACUUAGCGGGGUAGCGCGAGAUGUGGAGCUACACCUAGGCCCUUGGCGAGGUAAGGCCAAUUUCUCGGUUGUACCUUUGGAUGAUUUUACACUUGUUUUAGGCAUGGAAUUUUUGCAACAGUUCAAUGCGGUGCCACUUCUGAGGUACAACUCAAUGUGUAUCCUAGAGGGAGCCCCAUGCUUGGUCCCGACCGCGAGUAAGGUCACACCACCAGGCCAACUUUCCGCCAUGCAAAUCAGCAAAGGUUGCAAGCGGCAUGAGGACACAUUUCUCGCCACCAUUCAUGAGGUCGGUGACGGGAAGGACACUAUGGCCAUGGAGCCCAUACCGGAGGCGGUAGGCCAAGUCCUUGAGGCGUAUGAGGACGUAAUGCCACCCGAGUUGCCAAAGCGGUUGCCGCCACGAAGGGAAGUAGACCACAAGAUUGAGCUGGAGCCGGGUGCCAAACCGCCUGCACGAGCACCUUACCGCAUGUCUCCACCGGAGCUAGAGGAGUUGCGGAGGCAAAUUAAGGAGCUGCUGGACGCAGGAUACAUCCAGCCCUCGAAAGCACCAUACGGAGCACCGGUGCUGUUCCAGCGGAAGCAUGAUGGCUCACUUCGACUAUGUAUCGACUACCGGGCUCUUAACAAGGUGACCGUGAAGAACAAAUACCCCAUCCCACUGAUUGCGGACUUGUUCGAUCAACUUGGACGGGCCAAAUAUUUCUCCAAGCUGGACCUUAGAUACCAAGUGCGGAUUGCAGAGGGAGAUGAGCCGAAGACCGCUUGUGUGACGAGGUAUGGAGCGUACGAGUUCAAGGUAAUGCCCUUCGGCCUCACCAAUGCUCCAGCCACAUUUUGCACGCUCAUGAACCGCAUAUUCCAGCCAUACCUUGAUCAGUUUGUGGGGGUGUAUCUCGAUGACAUCGUGGUCUAUAGCAACACCUUGGCGGAACAUGCUGAGCACUUGCGGGUCGUGUUCGGAGUGUUGCGGGAAAAUGAGCUGUAUGUGAAGAGGGAGAAGUGUUCGUUCGCAAAACUGGAGGUGGAUUUUCUUGGCCAUAAAAUCAGAGAUGGGACGCUGCUCAUGGACAAGGCCAAGGUCCGAGCCAUUGCCGAAUGGGAGCCGCCCACAAAGGUGACUGAGUUGCGCUCUUUCUUAGGCCUUGCCAACUAUUAUCGGAGGUUCAUUAGAGGUUAUUCCGCCAUUGCCGCACCACUCACUGAUUUGCUCAAAAAAACUACCAAGUGGGAAUGGACGGAAAGGAGCCAGCAAGCCUUCGAUGCCCUCAAGAAGGCCGUGAUGGAAGAGCCGGUACUUGUGCUGCCGAACCAUGACUUACCAUUUGAGGUACACACUGAUGCUUCUGAUUUUGCUAUUGGAGGUGUGUUGAUGCAGGCCGAGCAUCCGAUAGCCUUUGAGAGCCGAAAGCUCAAUGAUACGGAGCGGCGGUACACGGUACAAGAGAAAGAGAUGACAGCGGUAGUGCACUGCUUGCGCACAUGGAGGCACUACUUGCUUGGGUCCAAGUUCGUGGUGAAGACGGACAACGUGGCCACUAGUUACUUCCAAAGCCAAAAGAAGCUUAGUCCGAAGCAAGCGAGAUGGCAAGAUUUCUUGGCCGAAUUCGACUACGUGCUGGAGUAUAAGCCCGGAAAGGUUAAUUUGGUAGCGGACGCCUUGAGUCGGAAGGCCGAGCUUGCUGCCAUAAGUCGGAUACAAGGAGAGCUUCUUGCACUCAUCAAGGAGGGAACGGAGCAUGAUUCCUUGGCCAAGCAGCUGGUUUCUCUCGUGCAACAGGGGAAAUCGAAGAGGUUUUGGGUCGAAGAUGGCCUUUUAUACACCAAGGGAUGGCGUGUUUAUGUUCCGAAGUGGGGAAACUUGCGGCAGAACUUGAUCAAGGAGUGUCAUGAUACGAAGUGGGCUGGACACCCGGGACAAAGGCGGACACGGGCAUUGCUUGAGUCGGCAUACUAUUGGCCUCAGAUGCGGGAUGAAGUGGAGCAGUUCGUGCGGACGUGCUUAGUGUGCCAACAGGACAAAACAGAGCAACAAUGUCCCGCGGGGUUGCUUGAGCCACUGCCCACUCCGGAUCGACCGUGGGAGAGUAUAUCGAUGGAUUUCAUCACUUGUCUUCCCAAAUCGGAGGGGUUUGCAACUAUUGUUGUAGUGGUGGACAGAUUCUCGAAAUAUGCCACUUUCAUUCCCGCCCCGAAGGAGUGCACAGCGGAGGACACAGCCAAGCUUUUCUUUAGGCAUGUGGUGAAGUAUUGGGGACUUCCCAAAUCCAUCAUUAGCGACCGUGACAGCCGGUUUACGGGCAGGUUUUGGACUGAGUUGUUCAAGCUUAUGGGGUCGGCGCUGCACUUUUCUACGAGCUUUCAUCCACAAACCGAUGGGCAAACGGAGAGGGUGAAUGCCUUGUUGGAGCUGUACUUGCGGCAUUUUGUGAGUGCCAACCAGCAUGAUUGGGCAAAGUUGCUGGACGUGGCCCAAUUUUCCUACAACUUGCAGCGGAGCGAGGCUACAUCGAGGAGCCCUUUCGAGGUGAUCAUGGGACAGCAGCCGCUUACGCCAAACACGCUUAUCACGAGCUAUACCGGGAGGUGUCCUGCAGCAUAUAAAGUGGCUAAGUCGUGGCAUGAGCAUACGGACAUAGCACGGGCGCACCUCGACAAAGCAACCAAGCGGAUGAAGAAAUGGGCGGACAGCAAGCGUAGACACUUGGAGUUCAAUGUGGGGGACAUGGUGCUAGUCAAGAUCGUUCCGGCCCAGCACAAGUCUACACGUUCGCUGCACAAGGGCCUCAUCCGGAAAUACGAGGGGCCAUUUCCCAUCAUCAAGAGGAUCGGCAGUGUGUCGUACAAGCUAGAGUUACCCUCUUGGCGAAAACUCCAUCCGGUCUUCCAUGUGAGUUCCUUGAAGCCAUUACAUGGGGAUACGGAAGAUCUGAAAAGGGGAGAAUCCAAGCGCCCUCCACUCGGCAACACAAGGGUAUAUGACAAAGAAGUGGAGGCCAUUUUGGCUGACCGAGUGGUUCGGAAGAAGAGUUUUCCGCCGUGCCAAGAGUACUUAGUCAAAUGGAAGGGACUACCUGAGAGCGAAACAAGUUGGGAGGCCGCAAACGAUUUGUGGCAGUUCCAAGACAAGAUCAAAGCCUUCCACAGCGAGUCGACGAGGACGUCUCCGGAAUAGGUGGGGGAGAAUGUCAUGGCCCAAGCCUCCACAUGGCCUGGCCCAUGGGGAAUUCUAGAGCUAUGGAGACUUGUGUAGAGCAUGUAGAUAUUUCCUAUGUAAUUAAUGUGUUUAGGUGGUAGUUGUGAUAACUCUAGAGACUCUCUAGAUACUUCCUUGUACUCUAUCAAUAGAAGAGGGCCUCAUUUGGCCAAAUGAAUAAGAAGCAAUAUACAAAUCCAGCACACAUAGCUUUGUGAGCAUUCUAUCAAGCAAUAUAGGUUCGUUCCUCCCAUCCUUAGUGUGUUAGAGUGAAUCCUCUUCCCGCUUCUCAAAUCCAGCAAUGGAUUUGGGUGUAAGGCUGACUUAGGGCCAAGAGAGUGCGAAUUUGGCGCCUAAGGCCGCACGGCAUAGCGUGGAAAAAAAAACCGGGCCGUGACAUAUAGCCCACCUGUUUGUUGCCCAUUUUUCCGCUGGGGUGUCUUGGCGCCCCGACAUUCGGGGGCUGAUUUUUGGGCGCGCCUGUGCCAGUGUUCUAUUUUUGGCACACGGAGGCCGCCCGCAAAGUCUGGGGCCAUUCCGAGUCCGGCGGACGAACUUCGCCCACACCCCCCACCAAGGCUAUAGCCCACCCGUUUUUUGGCCAUUUUUCCGCUGGGGUGUCUUGGCGCCCCGACAUUCGGGGGCUGAUUUUUGGGUGCGGCUGUGCCCGUGGCCUAUUUUUGGCACACGGAGGCCGCCCGCAAAGUCUGGGGCCAUUCCGAGUCCGGCGGACGAACUUCGUCCACACCCCCCACAAAGGCUAUAGCCCACCCGUUUUUUGGCCAUUUUUCCGCUGUGGGGUCUUGGCGCCCCGACCUUCGGGGGCUGAUUUUUGGGCGCGGCUGUGCCAGUGUUCUAUUUUUGGCACACGGAGGCCGCCCGCAAAGUCUGGGGCCAUUCCGAGUCCGGCGGACGAAGUUCGCCCACGCCCCCCACCAAGGCUAUAGCCCACCUGUUUUUUUGCCAUUUUUCCGCUGGGGGGUCUUGGAACCCCGACCUUCGGGGGCUGAUUUUUGGGCGCGGCUGUGCCCGUGGCCUAUUUUUGGCACACGGAGGCCGCCCGCAAAGUCUGGGGCCAUUCCGAGUCCGGCGGACGAAGUUCGCCCACGCCCCCCACCAAGGCUAUAGCCCACCCGUUUUUUGGCCAUUUUGCCGCUGGGGGGUCUUGGCGCCCCGACCUUCGGGGCCUGAUUUUUGGGCGCGGCUGUGGCCGUGGCCUAAUUUUGGCACACGGAGGCCGCCCGCAAAGUCCGGGGCCAUUCCGAGUCCGGCGGACGAACUUCGCCCACGCCCCCCACCAAGGCUAUAGC
rnacentral:lncRNA from 1 species